rnacentral:rRNA from 1 species
CCUACGGGUGGCAGCAGUGAGGAAUAUUGGUCAAUGGCCGGAAGGCUGAACCAGCCAAGCCGCGUGAAGGACGAAGGUGCCAAGCAUUGUAAACUUCUUUUGUCAAGGGACAAAAUCAGGCUCGAGAGCCUGACCGAGGGUACUUGAAGAAAAAGCAUCGGCUAACUCCGUACCAGCAGCCGCGGUAAGACGGAGGAUGCGAGCGUUAUCCGGAUUUAUUGGUUUGAAAGGGUGCGUAGGCGGACUGUUAAGUCAGCGGUAAAAGCCCGGGGCUCAACCCCGGCGAGCCGUUGAAACUGGGUGUCUUGAGAUGUCGAGAGGUAUGCGGAAUGCGCAGUGUAGCGGUGAAAUGCUUAGAUAUUGCGCAGAACUCCGAUUGCGAAGGCAGCAUACCGGCGGCGAUCUGACGCUGAGGCACGAAAGCGUGGGUAGCGAACAGGAUUAGAUACCCCUGUAGUC